rfam:Felis catus isolate Cinnamon breed Abyssinian chromosome B1, whole genome shotgun sequence.
GCCUGGGUGGCUCAGUCCGUUGAGCUUCCGGCUUUGGCUCGGGUCAUGAUCUCAUGGUUUGUGGGUUCAAGCCCCACCACAGGCU